AGGGGUGUAGCUCAGCAGGCAGAGCGACCGGUUUCCACGCCGGGAGAUGCCGUGUUCAAGUCCGGCCGCCCCUG
rnacentral:tRNA from 1 species